rnacentral:rRNA from 1 species
AGUGAACGCUGGCGGUAGGCCUAACACAUGCAAGCCGAACGGCAGCACAGUAAGAGCUUGCUCUUACGGGUGGCGAGUGGUGGACGGGUGAGGAAUACAUCGGAAUCUACUUUUUCGUGGGGGAUAACGUAGGGAAACUUACGCUAAUACCGCAUACGACCUACGGGUGAAAGCAGGGGAUCUUCGGACCUUGCGCGAUUGAAUGAGCCGAUGUCGGAUUAGCUAGUUGGCGGGGUAAAGGCCCACCAAGGCGACGAUCCGUAGCUGGUCUGAGAGGAUGAUCAGCCACACUGGAACUGAGACACGGUCCAGACUCCUACGGGAGGCAGCAGUGGGGAAUAUUGGACAAAGGGCGCAAGCCUGAUCCAGCCAUACCGCGUGGGUGAAGAAGGCCUUCGGGUUGUAAAGCCCUUUUGUUGGGAAAGAAAAGCAGCAGGUUAAUACCCCGCUGUUCUGAAGGUACCCAAAGAAUAAGCACCGGCUAACUUCGUG